UACGGAGGGUGCAAGCGUUAUCCGGAUUCACUGGGCGUAAAGGGCGCGUAGGCGGCGCGACAAGUCACUUGUGAAAUCUCUGAGCUUAACUCAGAACGGCCAAGUGAAACUGUUGUGCUAGAGUGCAGAAGGGGCAAUCGGAAUUCUUGGUGUAGCGGUGAAAUGCGUAGAUAUCAAGAGGAACACCUGAGGUGAAGACGGGUUGCUGGGCUGACACUGACGCUGAAGCGCGAAAGCCAGGGGAGCAAACGGG
rnacentral:rRNA from 1 species